CCAGCCAGUGGAUCGUCGCGCCCUCUGCCCCAACGACGCAUCGAUGGCACUGGCGCCACGACCACUGGCCACCAUAGUUUUCGUCUGCCAGAUGAUGGCGGUCGUUCUGCAGGCCACGACCUUGACUUGCGUUGUGCUCGCAGGCGACCUCUGGUUCUAGACGUUCCUAUUCCUCAAGGCUCUCCUGGCGGCGGAGCUGGCCUUGAACACGGCACGACUGAUCUACGAAGCGGCGCAGGUCUUCUUCCAGAAACUGUUGUCGGCCUUCCGCUGGCAGAUGAUGGGGCUCGUCGCCGCUGACUAGGUACCGUACAGUAGUAUUCUCUUUCAUGCUCGCUGGCUCGCACAAACAUAUAUGUCGUCCUACGUGUGCGUGCAUGCAUGGAUUGCAAGUGAUGAUGCUCCUCCUUUUCACUAUUGGGUCGAGCUCCCUCGCCGUGGAGGACUUCAUCGAGAACAACAUGAGGCAUUGCGCGUGGCUGAAGCCCGAGACGUGCGAGCGGUACAAGGCCUCCGGCGUACUUACCUUGCUGGCGUGGGCUUUCACUGCCCUGGUCGCCUGUGUUAUGCUUCGUCAGCAAAGGAUCUGGGAUGAAGACGCCGCCACCGCUGAUGCAUGAUGGGCAGUCAACUUCUACCUAAGCAUGAGAGAUUUAUUUGAUACUAGUAGUAGUAAUAAAUAGUUUAGUUUGGCUACUAUCGCUAUGACGUCGCCAUGUGUACGUACGGUAGACGUACUACCCUCCCUAUGAUUUUUAGUAAAAGUGUAUAUUAUUCCCGUAUAUGAUGCUUAAGUUUGGUUGCGGCUCACUUUGAA